rnacentral:miRNA from 1 species
CAAAGAAUGAGGUCGGACACU